rnacentral:rRNA from 1 species
AGUGAACGCUGGCGGUAGGCCUAACACAUGCAAGUCGAACGGCAGCACAGUAAGAGCUUGCUCUUACGGGUGGCGAGUGGCGGACGGGUGAGGAAUACAUCGGAAUCUACUUUUUCGUGGGGGAUAACGUGGGGAAACUUACGCUAAUACCGCAUACGACCUACGGGUGAAAGCAGGGGAUCUUCGGCCCUGGCGCGAGUGAAUGAGCCGAUGUCGGAUUAGCUAGUUGGCGGGGUAAAGGCCCACCAAGGCGACGAUCCGUAGCUGGUCUGAGAGGAUGAUCAGCCACACUGGAACUGAGACACGGUCCAGACUCCUACGGGAGGCAGCAGUGGGGAAUAUUGGACAAUGGGCGCAAGCCUGAUCCAGCCAUACCGCGUGGGUGAAGAAGGCCUUCGGGUUGUAAAGCCCUUUUGUUGGGAAAGAAAAGCAGCAGGUUAAUACCCCGCUGUUCUGACGGUACCCAAAGAAUAAGCACCGGCUAACUUCGUG